CGGAGCCGACGGGGUGGGCGGCGACGGACGAGGCGACGUCGGACAAGAAGUGGUGGAUGCAAUCUCUUCCUCGAAGCUUUUCAUGACCGAGUCGAGGUCCUGAGUGGCCGCGUCGAGUUCCGAGUCGUCGAGGAAACCCAGUAGGUCUUCUCUGAGUCGCUUAACCUCGGCCGAGUCAUGCUCCGAGUCGUCCGAGUUGUCUCGGAUCCGCUUCUUACUAUUUGAGGUGUGGUCCUCCAUAACAUAUACCAAUCGCAAAUUAGAGG
rnacentral:lncRNA from 1 species